AUGCCCAGUCUCUUAUGUGUUCACCCAUCCCACUAUUUCUUCCCCUAUGAUGAUACCCAGAGAUCACUGGACAUUUUCAAGUGUGAACUCUCUGAAGAAGGCAAACAUAAGGAAUCCCGUAUGGUAUUUGCUCCUGGAAAUCAUGAUGUGGAGCAGUGAUCACAGCCGCUAUCAACGGUAGAAUUAGAGAAAGGACACCCUUUUCAGGAGAAAAAGUAAGUGUUGGAAAUAAUUAAAAUAACUACAACUGAUAUAUACCCAGGGGAGCCAUAAAAUGUAGUUUUCUCUGUUGUUGCCAAAUGUCUAGCUGAACUGAAAUAUAAUCCGUUAGCAUCUGACAUGUUAAAAAAAAAAGUCUGACUUAGGAAUGGACAUUGGAGUUGGUUGUUCACCACAUUUCUGAAGUUUACAUCUGUUGACCAGCCCUAAGUCCUACUUAACAUAUGAAAUCUGAUGAGAGAUCACAGUCUGAAUUAAUAGAUGUGAAAUGCAUUGAGUUUAAUUAGCACAUCUUUACUCGUCCAUGCUGAAGACUUGGCAUUGAAAGAAAACUAGAGCAAAAUUCAGUAGCACAAACACUCUGGUACACAGAGAUUUUAAAAAGAAAUUGUAAUAAGAAACAUGAAGCCUAUUGAACUCCUUUAAAAAGCCAAACCACAUGGAGGUAGCCAGUUAAAAAGUACACCCCUUGGAAUUUAGUCUAAAAGUCCGCUAACACAUCUACGCCUUUACUGCUGAAUCACAUCUGACAUGUCUGUGAUCGUGCCAGAAGAAAUAAAAUAAUAAAACUAACCCA
rnacentral:lncRNA from 1 species